AGUGAACGCUGGCGGUAGGCCUAACACAUGCAAGUCGAACGGCAGCACAGUAAGAGCUUGCUCUUACGGGUGGCGAGUGGCGGACGGGUGAGGAAUACAUCGGAAUCUACUUUUUCGUGGGGGAUAACGUAGGGAAACUUACGCUAAUACCGCAUACUACCUACGGGUGAAAGCAGGGGAUCUUCGGACCUUGCGCGAUUGAAUGAGCCGAUGUCGGAUUAGCUAGUUGGCGGGGUAAAGGCCCACCAAGGCGACGAUCCGUAGCUGGUCUGAGAGGAUGAUCAGCCACACUGGAACUAAGACACGGUCCAGACUCCUACGGGAGGCAGCAGUGGGGAAUAUUGGACAAUGGGCGCAAGCCUGAUCCAGCCAUACCGCGUGGGUGAAGAAGGCCUUCGGGUUGUAAAGCCCUUUUGUUGGGAAAGAAAAGCAGCAGGUUAAUACCCCGCUGUUCUGACGGUACCCAAAGAAUAAGCACCGGCUAACUUCGUG
rnacentral:rRNA from 1 species